UUGCUUUGCAUAACACCCUCUAGUUCCAUCCACGUAGUUGCAAAUGGCAAGAUUUCAUUCUGAUGGCUGAGUAAUACUCCAUUGUAUAUACAGACCACAUCUGCUUUAUCCAUUCAUCCAUCGAUGGACCAUUUGGGCUCUUUCCACACUUUGGCUAUUGUUGAUAGUGCUGCUAUAAACAUGGGGGUGCAUGUGUCCCUUCAAAACAGCACACCUGUAUCCCGUGGAUAAAUGCCGACUAGUGCAAUUGUUGAGUCGUAGGGUAGUUCUAUUUUUAGUUUUUUGAGGAACCUCCAUACUGUUUUCCAGAGUGGCUGCACCAGCUUGCAUUCCCAAGAUCUAAUUAAGUUUUUAAAAGGGAUUAAUGAAUUUUUCUUUUUUUCUCAAGUUAGUUAACAUAUAAUGUGGUUUUGGGUUCAGAAGAACCCAGUGAUUCAUCUCUUACAUAUGACAACCCAGGGCUCAUCCCAAAAAGUGCCCUCCUUAAUGCCCAUCACCCAUUUAACCCAUCUCCCCUCCCACUCACCCCCCAAACGACCCUCAGCUUGUUCUCGGUUUUUUAGAGCCUCUUAUGGUUUUCCUCCCUCUCUGUUUUUAUCUUAUUUUUUCUUCCCUUCCCCUAUGUUAAUCUGUUAAGUUUUUCAAAUUCCACAUAAAAGCGAUUAAUAAAUUUUAAUAUCAAAAGUACAGUGGUAUAAAAUUAGAAUUGGCUGUUAAUAGGACAAAGUUCUGGGAUGCCUGGGUGGCUGGGUUGGGCAUCCAACUCUUGAUUUCAGCUCUGGUCAUGGUCUUGUUAUGGAACCAGGCUGGAACACUGGUGGAAAAACCAAGCGGCACUCGGAGACCUUGGUGGAUCGGAGAUUUAUUUAACACCGGCGGGCUCAGAGGAGACUUUCUCCAAAGGUCUAGGCGCCAAAUGUAAGUGGGGAGGAUAAUGUAUAGUCAUCAGCUUCCAUAUCUGUGGGGGUUUUCCUGUGCACAGCAAACAAAGGAAGAAGAACCCGGAGGAGGGGUCUCUAAGCUAGAGACCAGAGUCUGUUUUAGCCCCAUCGGUCAUCUUUGGUGCAAUACUUUAUUCACUUCUCCAACGUCCCCCCCUUUGAUGCCUUUUAAAAAACUUUUAGUAGGCAUCACCUUUCAGUUUUAUAGGUUGGUACUCUUGGAAGGCUAAGCCACAUGCAGUAGUUUGGCGAGAAACAGUGUUUUCAAUAAAAUGUACCAUGGCAUUCAGUAUACAGGGGCCAAUGGAUACAAGUAAAAUUAUGGAGAGGAGGGUCCCUGCCAGGGCAGGAAGCCAGGAUGCCCAAUCCAUGAGAUCCCAUCCUUUCCAUUGAUUGAUACUUUCCUGUUGUCUACGUUGAAUUCUUUGAGUUCCUUAACCUUAGCUGUAACUAUUCCUGACUGGUUUACAAAAUAGCAACAUUCCCCCCCCAGAAAGAUGCAUGUCCCUCCUUUUUCUGAAGUGAGGAGGUUGAGGGCUUGCCUAUUUUGGAGGGUCACUGCCGCCAGAGAGUUUAUUUGGCUUUGUAAGUUUACCAGAGAAUCUGCCACCCGUUCCAUGUCCUCAUUUAUCUCUCGAGAUAGUCUAUGGUACAGUCCUUCGGAUGAACCUAUGCCCUCUAUUCUGGCUCCUAUUCUUGUAGCAAUUCCUGCUCCUAUCAGAACGGGUACCAGGAUUGCCCAUUUAGUCCGGGACUUGGGCCUAAAGGCUGUUAGGAGCUGAUCUUCCGUGUACACGGAUAUCUCUGGGGUUAGGAAGACGGAAUAACAUAUCUGAGUCCAGUUGGCCUCUAAGCACCAGUAGGCCGAACUAGAACACAGAUAGAACACCCCAGGGGUUGAACACAGGGUUGCAUUCCUCUCUAAGGUUAUAUUUCUUCUGCAUAGAGAGGUACUGUUCAUACCUUCAGGGACUGUACAGAUUAGAUUGUCGGCAUUUAUGAGACGGACCCCAGUGGCCAGGGGUCCAAUUAAGACAGAGGUGUUGGUUUUGAGAUUUUCAGGAGCUUCCCAGGUCAAAGGGAUGGGAGUGGCUAGGUAAGCCCUCCGGCCGAGGGGCUAGCACAUCCAGCAGGUUUGGGUGUGAUUAUCUAUUUUACGGAGGACUUGGAGAGUAGCGUUGGAGUGGGGAAUUGGUAAGCAUCUGACUGAGGGCUGAAAGGUCCAAACCUUGGUAGGCUGCCGGGGGAGUGGUCGCCUUUAUGGCUUGUAUUACCCUAUCCUGGGUAUCCUUUAUAACUCUUUGAAGGGCCCUGUCUUGCACCCCUCCCCCAUCUGAGAUCCCCCAUUGAGGAAGGUAAGUGUAGCAAGCUGGCUUCCCUCUCUGGAGGUCCUUGUUGUGACAUGGGUUCCUGACAUCUUGGGUUAUCUCUACGGUCCGAUACUUAGUCCUUGGGGGCACCAGGUGACUGACAGAGAGUGGGUAUUUUUCCCUUGUAGCAAUCUUCGUGGAGGGAGGUGAAGGCACUGAGCACCCUUGACCCCCUUAUUGUCAUAUAGCAAUCCUGGGGGCAAAGUGGGUAAGCGGCAGUUGUGAGGGUGAGAGAGGUUAUCAUAAUAUACAGGCAAUACUUAAUGGCCCUCCCAUCCAGAGGAGGUGUGUGAGACCCAGCAUGCAUCUUUUGUCCCAUGUCCAGCUUGUUGGUGCAGUCUCUGUCAGCCCCACAGUAAGAAGUAAGAUCAGGGCUAUGACACCAAUAAGGGGCCAGGGCUGGCAGAGUUGCAUCCAGACCCCUGGGCUAGAUUCAUGAGUUGAUUCCUCAAGCUUCUGCCGUGCACAGGCCAGCCAGCUUCCGGGGUUUGGCUGGAGCAGGGCUGGAGGUCUCAGGGGCAGUUUCCCUUUUGAGGGUCAGUUUAAGUGGGUUGACUGGAUCUGGAUCACUUCGCCAGGUUGUGGGUUCUUCUGAGUUGGCCUUCUUAACUCUGGAGUGAUGGACCCAUGGGGUGAUACCUGAAACUUUAAGGGCUGUAGGAGUUGUUAGAAUAACAGUAUGAGGCCCAGUCCACCGUUGUCUAAGAGGUUCCCUCUUCCAAUCUUUGACCCACACAGAGUCUCCCGGCUGAAAGGGGUGAACGGGGGUCCCUAAGGAAAUUGGGGCCCUCUCUAUGGUAUAUUUGUAACUUAUUUAGGACUACCCCCAAGGUCCGGAGCUGUUCUCUUAUUCCCUUGUCUCCAAUCUGGUGUAGGUCUCCUGGGAGUUUUCCUAAACAUGGGGGGGUGGGGGUCGCCCACAUAAUAACUCAAAAGGGGAGAAUCCCAGUGGCCCAGGCAUGCAUCGGGCAUGCAGGAGGGCCAGCAGUAGUAAAUCUGGCCGUGGGAGAUUAGUCUCUUGGUGGAACUUAGGCAGGGUUUCCUUGAGGGUGCGAUUCAUCCGUUCUACUUUUCCCUGAGCUCUGGGGUCGGUAAGCAGUGUGCAGUUUCCAGGUAAUGUUGAGGGACUUUGUCAGGGUUUGUAUAAUGUCUGCCACAAACGAAGGUCAAUUAUCACUGUGUAUGGUUAAGGGUAGAUCAAACCGAAGCACAAUCUCCCGUAGAAGGGCUUUGGCCACCUCGUGACUUCAUUCCGUUCUGGUCGGGAAUGUUUCAACCCAUCCCGAAUAUGUGCAGAUUAUUACAAGAAGGUACCUGAAUCCUGUAUUUGGUUGUAUGUCGGUAAAGUCCACCUCUGAGUCUUUGAAAGGGGCGGCCCCCAUCCUUUGCGUGCCAGGCGGGGGCCGUGGGGCAGAUCAAGCAUUGUUUUCGGCACAUGUCACACAUUGUUCACUGACAGCUCGGCAUAAUGCUGGCAGCUGGCUGAUAUAGUUUUUUUUGAGGAGGGCCUCCAGUGCAGUUUUCCCUAGGUGCGUGGGUUGGUGAUAUUCCUUCACUAGGUGUUUUCCCAUAGAUGACGGGACAGAUGUGUCCGUUUGGCAUGACCCACCAUCCGUCUUUGCUUAGCGUGCCCCCUUCUGUCGAGGCCCAACUUCUUUCUUCAUUUGUGUACAGGGCGAGGAGGCUUCUCUCUGGGGCGCAAGAGUCAUAGUCUAGGUAGGAGCUUCUCCUGGGUCACUACAGGUGGCUGCUCUGGCUGUUUUGUCAGCCAGGCGAUUUUGUUGAGUUAUGGGGUUGUCUCCUGUCUGAUGUCCCUUACCGUGUAGGAUAGCUACCUUGUCUGGCAGCCAUACAGCCUCAAGAAGCUUUAGUAUUUCUUCCUUGUUUUUGGUAGUUUUCCCUGCAGCAGUAAGGAGGCCUCUUUCUUUAUAGAUGGCCCCGUGUACAUGCACAGUAGCAAAGGCAUACCGGGAAUCAGUGUAGAUGUUAACUCGUUUACCUUUGCUAAGGAUGAGGGCUCGGGCUAAGGCGUACAGUUCAGCCCGUUGUGUCGACCAUCCUUCCGGCAAGGCCUUGGCUUCCAGAACUUCGGUGGUUGUGGUUACUACAUAUCCUGCUCUUCGGCUGCCCUCUUGUAAAUAGCUGCUCCCAUUGCUGAACAGGGUGAUCUCCGGGCUUGUUAUAGCCUGGUCUUGGAGGUCCGGGCGGCUGGCAUAGACUUCAUCCACUACUUCGGAACAGUUCAUGGUCGGGUUCUCCCUCCCCCAUGGGAAGGAAGGUGGCCGGGUUUAGUGUUUUUACUGCUUUGACAGUGACCCUUGGGUUUUUGUAGAGAAGGCCUUGGUAUUGUGUCAGCCGAGAAUUGGAGAGGAGACGAUAGCCUUGGGUGCUCAUGAGGGACAUGACCAUGUGUGGGUCCCACGUGUUUGUCCCAGCGUGACUUUGUCUUCAUCCUUGAUGAGCAGCAGUGUGGCUGCCAGUGCUCUGAGGCACGGUGGCCAUCCUGCUGCCACAGGAUCAAGUUUUUUUGACAGGUAGGCCACUGGCCAUUGCCAAGGCCCCAUGCUCUGAGUGAGCACUCCAAGGGCUAUUUUGUCCUUUUCAUGUACGAAGAGGGUAAAAGGGCCUUUCUAUGUCAGGCAAACCCAGGGCUGGGGCUCAUCCCAGAGCCACUUUAUUUCUGUGAAAGUAGCCCUUGCCUCCUCAGGGGCCCCCGGUCUGGCCCUCCCAACAGGUCAUAGAGGGGCCUCGCUAUGGCUGAGAAUCCAGGAAUCCAAAUGCGACAGAACCCUGCGGCCCCUAAAAAUUCACGCAAGCCUCAUUUUGUUUGGGGCUGUGGCAGUGUGGUGAUAGCUUUCUUCCUUCCCGGUCCUAGUUCUCUUUUUCCUUUUGUGAGGAGGAAGCCUAAAUAUCAGACCUGCUGCUGACAAACCUGUGCCUUUUUUCCAAGAGGCCUGGUACCCCGAGUAGGACAGGAGCUGCAGGAGGGCCUUGGUACCUUUCAUACAGUCUUCUUGGGUGUCGCUGGCAAGGAGGAGGUCACCUACGUAUUGGAGGAGGACACACCCUGUGGUUUCCCUCGGACAGUCGGCGAGGUCUGCAGCUAGUGCUUCCCCAAAAAGAGUGGGCGAGUUCUUGAAACCUUGGGGAAGUCGUGUCCAGGUCAGCUGCAUCUGGCACCCUGUAACGGGCUCAGUCCAUUCAACGCCAAACAAGGGUUGACUUUGAGGAGCCAGGCGGAGGCAGAAGAAAGCAUCCUUUAGGUCGAGGCAUGGAAACCAUCUGGCUGACCCCGGAAUUUGGCUGAGGAGAGUAUACGGGUUUGGAACCACUGGGUGUAAGGAAACAGUCAUUUUGUUAAUGGCCCUCAAAUCCUGUACUGGUUGGUAUCCUCCUCCUGGCUUCUUGACUGACAAGAGCAGAGUAUUCCAAGCCAACUGGCACUCAAUUAGAGUACCUGCUUCCCUGAGCUUGGUCAGGUGCUCUUAUAUACCCAUUCUAGCCUUGAGUGGAAAAGGGUACUGCCUUUGUCUCUGAGGUUGGGCUCCAGGGAUCAGAUCAACAACGGUGGGGCCCCGACUGCAAGCUAGUCCAGGUGGGUUAUCUUCAGCCCAUACAGAGGGGAAUGUAAGCCUGAAUUCUGAGGGGCUACAGGGUAGGGUCUGUGUGCAGAAUAGUCUCCAUUCUUCUUCCCUUGGCAGGGUAAUCGCCAAGACCUGGGGUUUCCUCCUGCCCUGGGUUUAAUUGGAGACUAGUGUGUCCAGUGGGUUCAAAAGUUAUCUGGGCCCCAAGUUUGGAGAGCAGAUCCCGGCCCAGGAGAGGAACUGGGCAGUCAGGUAAGUAGAGGGACUCAUGCUGGACCUCAUGACCCCCAAGUUCACAUUGUCGAGCUUGACAGAAGAGCUGCUGCAUCACCCGUGUCCCAGUAGCCCCAAGUACGGUUGCCGUCUUUUGGCUGAAGGGCGUCACCGGGGAAGUAACAAUAGAGUAUUCAGCCCCAGUGUCAACCAUGAAAGUUCUUGUUCGGCCCCGUACCUUCAUUUCGACCAUGGGCUCAUGGGGGCCAAGAGAGAAAGAGCGCAGUCCCCCUCAGUCUGAUUCUACCCCGGCCAGACCAACGAGGUUCUUGCCUCGAGGUUCCUCCCAAUAUCGGCUGGGUUUUGAGGGCCCCUUCCAAUUCAGACAUGCAUUCUUCCAGUGUCCCUUCUCUUUGCAGUAUGCACAUUGGUCCCUUGCUAAGGUGGCUGGGGUCUUCCCGUCUUCGCAGCGUCUGUUUCUUUUAGUGCUGUUGCGAGAAGGGUGGCCUUCUUCUUUAGUCCUCUCCACUUCUCUUUCGGCUGCGACUCCUCUGUUCAUGAAAACCUUAUUGGCGACCUCUAUCAGCUGAGUGAUAUUCAUUCUGGCAAAGCCCUCCAACUUCUGGAGUUUUCUUCUGAUAUCUGGGGCAGCCUGUGCCACAAAAGAGGCAUUUACCAUCUGUUGACUUUCUGGUGCCUCGGGGUCAAACAGGGCAUAUACAUGGUAUGCUUCACAUAAUCUUUCAUGGUAGUCUCUGGGAGACUCCCCAGGGUGCUGCGUGACUGAUGAUAUUUUAGUCAUGUUCAUAGGCCUUUUGGCUCUGGCUCAGAUUCCCCGAAGGAGGGCUUCCUGGUAUCGUCGGAUAUGGGCUCGUCCUUCUUCUGUGGUGAAAUCCCACGUUGGGCGUUCUUCAGGCACGGCGGCUUGAGCCCAGACAGCAGAGUCAUUAAUCCCCGGAGGGACAAACUCAGGAUCACAGGGAAUCAAUAACAGUGCCCAAGCUUCCUGCCUCCUUGCAACAGCCCCCACUGCUUGGAACCAAAGAAGCAAAAAUCUCCCCGACUCGAAUAAGAAGAUGACGAGGGCUGAGGACAGGUUCACGUCUCCGUCUCAGUCCUCCCCGACCAGGGGGACACCAUAUGGGGCAGUGACAACCUGCAACGUCUGUUUUCUUGACAAUUCAAUCAAGGUGACGCUGAGCACAAGCACAUCCGAGAAAGCUAAGUGAGGAAGAAAAGAUCGAGCUGGGGACAGCGGUGAGCCUGGUGGGGACUUUGGGAUGGGGCAGAGAGAGAGGUCCUCUCCUUACACGGGGUCUCGGGCCCAUGCCCCCGCCCUUCACAGUCUGCCUCCAACAGCUGUGCCAGCCAGGUGGCUAGGCAGAUGCAGGCAUGCUGUGUCCAGAACCGCCCCAUGCAGCCUUCCUUCCGUGCACUCCCUUCACGGCUGUGCCGCUCAGCCUCUCUUAAAAUGGUUCAAAAUCCAAAACAUAAGAAGUCUUUCCUAUGCAUACACAGACAACCACGUGAAUGUGUGUGUGUAUGUGUGAGCAUGUGCGCGUGCGUGUGUAUUUUUCCCAAAUGCUGUCUUUAGUCCUAUCAUUCCCCACCUCCUAUGACUGAACGAGGUGCUCUCCAAGCCCUGGGUCUACCUGCAGUAGACCUCUUCCAGGGUAGAAAGGAUGGAGACUUUUUAAUCUUUGGGAGAUUCCUCCUGUCAGAGAUCCUGUCAGCCUCCAGUCCUGUAAGAAUCCUGACCUGUCAGCCACCAUGAGCCCCAUUCCAGCCUUGAGGCCAGCAAGGGCGUCCACGGCUGCCGCUGUGGUGUGGGGAGGCUUUGUCCUGUGUUCCUCUGUUACCACUGAGAUUGCCCGUUGGGACUGGAGCUACCCUGGAGCAGCUUGCCUGUGUAUUCUGGGAAUGUGUUAAUGGUUCCUGGAUCAGAAUAGAGCUCAAAAUGCAACUCUUGGUUCUUCUGUAAUUGCUGUGUGCUCUCGGAUUGCCUUUGGCAAGCUUAUGCCCUUGGUAGGUCUCCUGGACUUCAUGGUGUCCUACCACAUGCCAAUCACCGCUAAGAGAAAGACAAGGGGCAUCUGGGUGGCUCAGUUGGUUAAGCGUGUGACUUCGGCUCAGGUCACAAUCUCACUGCUUGUCAGUUUGAGCCUCAAGUCCGGCUCUGUGCUGACAGCUCAGAGCCUGGAGCCUGCUUCAGAUUCUGUCUCCUCCCCUCUCUGCCUCUCCCCUGCUCAUGCUCUGUCUCUCUCUCUCAAAUAUAAAAUAAGAAAACAUUAAAAAAUUUUUCAAAUAAAAAAAAAAAAAGAGAAAGAUAAGAUCAGCAGAUCAAGAGGCCAGAUUGGGCAGCUGACCAAGUGAGUAGGCAGGCUGGGUCCUUGCUCCUCUCCUGAUUUACCCCAUUGUCUAUUCUGAGCUGGUCCCUAGAAGGGACUUCUGUGUCCCUCUAAGUGUCAGAACUACCCUCAGAAUUUGGGGUCUAUCAUAAUGGGAGGGGUUUGAGCUGGGUGCGAUUUGUUUGGGAUGACAUGGGAGGGGAUGCUGCUUGUGCACUGUCGAACAUUUGGCUGAAGCUCGCUCCUGUGCGGGGCCUGAGAAAGUCCUUCUGUGGGGCUUGUGUCCAUCGCACGGUCAAUAAAGCAUCCUUGCAUUUUGCAAA